AUAUGUGAUGUGUGUGAUUAUACGUGUGUACAUUUAUAUUUUAAAGAAAAUUCAAUUGAUCUUGAAUUUCCUAUCGGGAUGUCUACAUGUAGCGUGUUGCAUUAGAUCGGGAUGUAGACAUAUUGCGUGUUGCAUUAUAUCGGGAUGUAAACAGGUUAAAGACUUAAUGAUGAGACACUAACAGUUGGCGGAACAUAUUCAACAAGAGAGUAGCCGGUAAAAUAUGGCUGACAAACAGUGACAUUUGAUUCGCGUCGAGUUCUCUCUGAUAUAUUGCAUGACCUAUCUUUUUAAUCGUUUAAAUAAAGUCGGUGUGCAAAGCUCGUUAAGAAAUGGUAUGGCUAUGAUUUUCCGUUGAUUUUUUGUUAAAGUUGUUGAUUUACAUGGAAUUGUUUAAUAAAAAUUUGUAUACAUGGUAACCUA